rnacentral:lncRNA from 1 species
GCUACAAAUCGAUUACGAGAAAUCCUGUCUAUCCAUAGCAAAACGUAUGAUUAUCUUGACGCGUGCGCACUCUGUGUGUGUGUUCGCGGCUCGGAGAGAGAGAGAAGCGGGUAUAGAGACGAAGAAAUACCGGAGGUAUCAGUCGUAGGGAAAAGUCAACGGGACGCAGCACGUGUGAACUCAUACCAGUGGGGCCGGUCAUGCGAGAGAAGACCCCAGUUCUUCAGGUCUCAUGCCUGUCCAGAAUCCGGUCUUCCAACAGCUCCUCCGAGGCCGGAGUAAGGGGAUUCCAGAUCACUUUCAGCAUAACUUGACUGGUCAUACCCCUGCCUACGUGAGGUUCGAACGAUGAUCCUGAUUAGUCACGGAGAAAUGAACUGCUUCGGACAUUGCAUGCUCUGCGAGCAAAACAGAAAUUUUGAUCUCAUCGGUACAUUGUACCAACCUCUGAGGAAAACAAAGGGGAGAGAAAAAAGAAAUCAGCGGAAUGGAGAAGAAAGACAUGAGGUAAAUGAAGGAGGAUACCAGUCCUGAGUAGAGAAUGCAAUUUACAUAAACAGGAGACAGGCUGCAAGUGGAGAUGAAAUUCAGGUGAGACAAAAGAGCAAAAUAGCACGCGCACAUCUGUGUGUGUGUGAUAGAGAAAGAAUAUUUUCUUUGUCUGACGUCCGAAGCUUCUCUUUUCACUAUACUUGAUAAUCCCUAGCUUGCUCCUAGUCUGCCUGGAACCAAUUAACGGGGUGAUGAUAAUGAAUAAUGCAUAAUGAUGUUCGUGGAUGAAAAAAGCGAUGGCAAUACGGAUCACGGGAACUGGGCAGAGCUCGUCCAUUGGCCUUUUCCAAAAUUCAACCCUCAGUCCCUGGAAAGUUAUUGCACUCUGCUGUACUCCUACUCCCAGACGUACGACCCGCAACAACACAUAAAACAAAUAUGAAUACCGUUCUAAUUUGUUUAGUAUGAUAUAUCCUUUCCGUUUUUCUGGCAUGUUUAAAAAAAAAAAAAAAAGAGAGACACACGUAGCUAUAUUUAUAUGUUGCUCGUGAUGUGUAUCAGUGAAGCAGACGAAUAUCCAUUAGCAUCCCGUUAUCCUGGUCUGAGACGAUCCUGUUUUACUCAACGCCGUGGGAUGUUGAUAAACAAAAGGUUUUGAACGCCACUUUUGUAGUUCGUAGACGUAAAUAUCACAGCUCCGGUACAGGAGGUUUUUCCCAGAGUAUCUCGCCAAGUUUACUUUCUUGUGUAAACCAAGAGAUUUAUUAGAAAAUAGGCGGGAAAGUGGAGAGAGGGCCAGAAUUAAGGGAAGUAAGCAUGAUGAGGGAGGAAACCAGUGAUAGAGAUAUUUGGCAGAAUAUAACUCACGGAGGACAACAAAUAAAUGGGAAGGAAACCAAACUAACCAAGAGAAAACCGACGACACGCGGUGUCAAAUCCAAAGAGAAAUACAUGUCCAUGAGCCGGGAUAUGAACUUAGUACCUUUAGAUGCUCUUUUCAAUGGUGAGAAACGAGUGGUAUACCAUCACGAUACUGGAUCUUCUCACGGCCCCCUACGGAUCUUCAAAUGAGGAGGUAAUUACAUACUGGGAUCACAAUGAGAUGACUUACAUUUUUUCUUCCUGAAGCUUGGGAUCUGAAAUCUGACUGAAACACUUUCUUGGGCAGCAGAGUACACAUCCACCCAUCACGCGGGGCUAUGCAGAUUAAAUGUAGAUUAAAUUUGUUCCGCAAAUGAAGUGACUUCGCGUCUGGAAGUUUCUGCCUUCACGAUGCUAGCUUCAAAGAGGACCCCCUUACCAACCUUACCAUGGUACAGGGGACAGGAAGUGAAUUCAUUUAGGCAGUUUCUUAAAAAAGAGAUCUUUUUAAAUAAAAAGGCCUAUUGGCAGAUGGCGUGUACAGUUCUUUCCUGUCAUGGGGGCUAAAAGAGCAGUGUAACAUUUUGGCUUUUCUGGAAGUUUGUAUAAUCUUUCUGCAAGAUUAUACGUGAAUUUUAAGUUGGAGCAAUACGGAAUUUCCGAGAAAUUCUGUUCCAUAGCCCAAUGGAAUUUUUUAAACAUGCAGCUCAAGAGCCUAGACAAUCGCUUCUGUUCCUUGUACAAUGGAGAUACUAGAAGGGACCUCCAUCUCUGAUGACCCUUAAAUUUUUUUUAAAAUUCUGAUAAAGGCACAGACAUCUAAUUAAAGGUGGAGUUACACAUAUCACGUGCAUACGAUAGAAGACGCACCUAAAUCAUCUCAGGAGUGCGCAAAAGACACACGCGCGCACACAUUACAUGGAAGCUGUAAAAAAUUAUGAGCCUUUUUAAUGUAUGGAAUAGAGUAGGUAUGUUGGAUGUGUGUGUGUGUGGGGGGGGGG